rnacentral:lncRNA from 1 species
GGAUUGGACCCUCGGAGGUAGAGAAUGCACUGAUGAAGCACCCUGCUGUGGUUGAGACGGCUGUGAUCAGCAGCCCAGACCCCGUCCGAGGAGAGGUGGUGAAGGCAUUUGUGAUCCUGGCCUCGCAGUUCCUAUCCCAUGACCCAGAACAGCUCACCAAGGAGCUGCAGCAGCAUGUGAAGUCAGUGACAGCCCCAUACAAGUACCCAAGAAAGAUAGAGUUUGUCUUGAACCUGCCCAAGACUGUCACAGGGAAAAUUCAACGAACCAAACUUCGAGACAAGGAGUGGAAGAUGUCCGGAAAAGCCCGUGCGCAGUGAGGCGUCUAGGAGACAUUCAUUUGGAUUCCCCUCUUCUUUCUCUUUCUUUUCCCUUUGGGCCCUUGGCCUUACUAUGAUGAUAUGAGAUUCUUUAUGAAAGAACAUGAAUGUAAGUUUUGUCUUGCCCUGGUUAUUAGCACAAAACAUUACUAUGUUAGAUAUUGAAAUAAGAAAGGGAAGGAAUGAGAGAGAGUGAAAAGGAGAGGGUAACAGAAAAAGAGGAAAGAAAAGUAAGUCAGGGAAAUGUUAAAAACUGCAAGAGAAAGCAAUUGAAAAAGAAAUAAAGUAGGGAGGGAAGGCGAGAGGAAGCAAGGGAAGGAGGAAGAAAGGAAAGAGGAGAUGAAAGGGGGAGAAAAGAUAGAAGAAAAAUAAUUGAAGGGAGAAUCAGAAAAAUAAAGAGAAGAAAGGAAAGAAAUAAAGAGAGAAAGAGAAAGAAGAAAGAGCAAAAGAACACAAGAAAGAAAGAGAGGGAGAAAGAGAGGGAGAAAGGGAGAGAAAAAAAUUGUAAAAAUAAAAAUAGUAAAAGAAACUGAUAAAGAAAAGUCAUGGAAGACAGGAAGAAAGGAAGAGAGGGAAGUAAAGAGGAAAACCUAUAAAUAUUCCCACAGAUAGACAAAGUCAAGCAUAAAACUGGAGCUUGAGAAGGAAAUGAAAGGAAAAGAAGUGGUACUUUCUUUUACCCUAGGAGAAGACCUCCAUACAGGAAGACUUGUGUGUGGGGCUGGGACAUUAGAAUCAUCCGCAAGUCACUCCAAACCUUGAAACUGUCAGGGUCAGAGGGGAACCACCAUUUAUUAAGCAUUUGCCAUGUGCCAGGCACUGACCCAGACACAUUAUAAAUACCACAUUGUUUCACCUGUGUGUGGCAUCUACAGACCUUAGAUCAUAGCUGUGAGAACAAAGUAAGCACUGCCAAAGUUAUCAGCUACCCAUACCUCAUGUUUUUGGUGUUAUCUACUCUUCCUAGAAUCAAAUAUUAAAAUAAUUUUAAA